rnacentral:rRNA from 1 species
AAUUUCCUAGGGGGCGUCAAAGCCUACCGAAGAAUAUCAAACUCCGAAUGCCAUACAGAUGAUGUACGGGAGUCAGACGGCACGAGAUAAGUUGGGUCGUCAAAAGGGAAAGAGCCCAGACCUGCAGCUAAGGUCCCAAAGUGUGUGUUAAGUGGAAAAGGAUGUGGGAUUUCAAAGACAACUAGGAUGUUGGCUCAGAAGCAGCCACACAUUCAAAGAGUGCGUAAUAGCUCACUAGUCGAGAGGUCCUGCGCCGAAAAUGUCCGGGGCUGAAACACAACACCGAAGCUCAGGAAUGUAUUUAUACAUUGGUAGAGGAGCAUUCUUAAAGGGGCGAAGCAGUACCGAUAAGGAGCUGUGGACUUUUAAGAAGAGAGAAUGCCGGAAUGAGUAGCGAGAUGGAGGUGGGAAUCCUCCAGGCCGAAUAUCUAAGGUUUCCAGGGUAAAGCUGAUCUGCCCUGGGUAAGUCGGGGCCUAAGGCAAGGCUGAGAAGCGUAGCUGAUGGACAACAGGUUUAGAUUCCUGUACCACAUGGUAUCAGAACUGUGGGGACGCAGAGGGAUAAGAUGACCGGGGGACAGAUUCCCGGGCAAGCGCAGGAGGUGUCAGACAGGCAAAUCCGUCUGACAAGCCAAAGGCGUGACGCGGACCGAACUCAAGUAGGGAAGCAUCCGAUUCCAGCUGCCGAGAAAAGCCGCUAUUGUGUAUCAUGUGCCCGUACCGUAAACCGACACAGGUGGAUGAGGAGAGAAUCCUAAGGCCGGCGGGAGAAGCAUUGUUAAGGAACUCGGCAAAAUGACCCCGUAACUUCGGGAUAAGGGGUGCCAGAGAGAUCUGGCCGCAGAGAAUAGGCUCAAGCAACUGUUUAGCAAAAACACAGGUCUAUGCAAAACCGAAAGGUGAGGUAUAUGGGCUGACGCCUGCCCGGUGCUGGAAGGUUAAGAGGAGAGGUUAGAGCAAUCGAAGCUUUGAAUUGAAGCCCCAGUAAACGGCGGCCGUAACUAUAACGGUCCUAAGGUAGCGAAAUUCCUUGUCGGGUAAGUUCCGACCCGCACGAAAGGCGUAAUGAUUUGAGCGCUGUCUCGACAAUGCACCCGGUGAAAUUGAAAUACCAGUGAAGAUGCUGGUUACCUGCGCCAGGACGGAAAGACCCCAUGGAGCUUUACUCCAGCUUGAUACUGGGAUUCGGUAUUGCAUGUACAGGAUAGGUGGGAGGCUAGGAGAUGGUAACGCCAGUUGCCAUGGAGCCGCUGUUGGGAUACCACCCUUGCAGUAUUGGGUUUCUAACCAGCCGCCGUGACCCGGCGGUGGGACAAUGCCAGACGGGGAGUUUGACUGGGGCGGUCGCCUCCGAAAGGGUAUCGGAGGCGCCCAAAGGUUCCCUCAGAAUGGACGGAAACCAUUCGAAGAGUGCAAAGGCAGAAGGGAGCUUGACUGCGACACCGACGGGUGGAGCAGGUACGAAAGUAGGACUUAGUGAUCCGGUGGUAUAAAGUGGGAUUGCCAUCGCUCAACGGAUAAAAGCUACCCUGGGGAUAACAGGCUUAUCACUCCCAAGAGUUCACAUCGACGGAGUGGUUUGGCACCUCGAUGUCGGCUCAUCGCAUCCUGGGGCUGAAGUAGGUCCCAAGGGUUGGGCUGUUCGCCCAUUAAAGCGGUACGCGAGCUGGGUUCAGAACGUCGUGAGACAGUUCGGUCCCUAUCCGGCGUGGGCGUAGGAUAUUUGAGAGGAGCUGUCCUUAGUACGAGAGGACCGGGAUGGACGGACCGCUGGUGUACCGGUUGAGCUGCUAAGCUCAUGGCCGGGUAGCCAAGUCUGGCAGGGAUAAACGCUGAAGGCAUCUAAGCGUGAAGCCCCCCUCAAGAUGAGAUAUCCCAUAACGUCAAGUUAGUAAGACCCCUUGA